rnacentral:lncRNA from 1 species
CCCAGGUUAGCCUCAACCUCUAGAUCUUCCUGCUUGUGGAACAGUUGGAAUUACAAGCAUGUCCCACUGGGCCAAACUUAAAUCAGCCUCUUAAAAGGCUCCCUAGGUGAUAAUGUUGUGAAGGAUUGGAAACCCACAGUGACAGUUCCCCACAGCUCCUCCAAUUUUCACCUACAUUGUUAGAUUAAUUGUACUUAUCUCUCAGAGUGGAGGCUCUAUGUUUCCUGGGUCUGAGUGCCCUGGAAAGGACUAAAUCAAAGCCGUGCCCAUCACCCCGGACACACAAACUCUUCCAUCUGCUUCUUUGAUGUGGCCUUUGGACCACUCACCAAAGCCAUGAAUGGUUAGACAGUCCCCGUCUCUGCUAAAUCUGUGUAAAUGGGAGAAGGAACAUUCCUUUCAUUGUCUAAGGCAAUAAAUCCUAAGCGGGAAGAUAUAAAACCCAAGGUCACGGGAGUUCUGAGAACAGGCACCUAAACUGCCAGAAAUGGAACUCCUGAGGCUCCCUGAGGAAAGUUAUGGUUCAGUUCAGUAUCAAACAAGGAACAAAAAAAAAAAAAAAAAAAAAAAGGAAGAGCUAUCCUAAAGGCUGACUAUGAGUCAGCAAGUCUCCUUAAAGUCUAUUUAAAGGUGAGAACCUGGGGUUAGGAAAAAAAUUAAAUAAGCUGACACAUUUACUUCUCCUAAAUGGUGGAGAUGACAGACUCCUGUGACUUUCCUACACAGCUGGACAUGCAAGCUGGUGAUUUUGUUGCUAUUGUGAAAACAUCCCUGGCCCUGUCAAAUAUUUUGUAGAAAGUAAUGCUCCUGCCUCUACCUUCUCUCCUGCCGGAAUUAUAGACAUCAGCUACAUCACCAGCCUUGAAUUUUGUUGCUGGUUUUUGUUUGCUAUUGAAGAUAUA